rnacentral:rRNA from 1 species
GUGGGGAAUAUUGGACAAUGGGCGCAAGCCUGAUCCAGCCAUGCCGCGUGAGUGAUGAAGGCCUUAGGGUUGUAAAGCUCUUUUGUCCGGGAAGAUAAUGACUGUACCGGAAGAAUAAGCCCCGGCUAACUUCGUGCCAGCAGCCGCGGUAAUACGAAGGGGGCGAGCGUUAUUCGGAAUCACUGGGCGUAAAGCGUGCGUAGGCGGCUUUGCAAGUUGGGAGUGAAAGCCCAGGGCUCAACCCUGGAAUUGCUCUCAAAACUGCAAGGCUCGAAUUCGGGAGAGGAUAGCGGAAUUGUCAGUGUAGCAGUGAAAUGCGUAGAUAUUGACAGGAACACCAGUGGCGUAAGCGGCUAUCUGGACCGAUAUUGACGCUGAGGCACGAAAGCGUGGGGAUCAAACAGGAUUAGAAACCCUAGUAGUCC